AUUGAACGCUGGCGGCAGGCCUAACACAUGCAAGUCGAACGAGUGGCAGACGUGUGAGUAAUGUCUGGGAAACUGCCUGUUGGAGGGGGAUAAUUACUGGAAACGGUAGCUAAUACCGCAUACCAUCGGAUGUACCUUGAUGGGAUUGGCUAGUAGGUGGGGUAAAGGCUCACCUGGGCGACGAUCCCUAGCUGGUUUGAGAGGAUGACCAUCCACAAUGGAACUGAGACACGGUCCAGACUCCUACGGGAGGCAGAAGUGGGUAAUAUUGCACAAUGGGCGCAAGCCUGAUGCAGCCCUGCCGCGUGUAUGAAGAAGGCCUUCGGGUUGUAAAGUACUUUCAGCGGGGAGGCGUUACCCGCAGAGGAAGCACCGGCUAACUCCGUGCCAGCCGCCGCGGUAAUUC
rnacentral:rRNA from 1 species